rnacentral:lncRNA from 1 species
UUUCCGUGCUGUUUCGUUUCCCUCAACAAUUAUUUUCGUAAUCUGAUUGGGUCCGCUCCUAAUCAGUCCCAAUACAGACAACCAACCUGCAGGUUAGUCCAUUUACACACGUAUUUAAGAUUUUACACAUUAUUUUAUACAAAAAAGAACACAUUAUAAUUUGGAAGAUUUAAUAAUUAAUUGUAAAUUUAUAACCAAAUGAGCUGAAACCUGAAAGUCAAAGUAUCUCAAAUUCCAGGUGUCCUAAGAUCUUCGUAUAACAGUCGUGCCACGUCAUUGGCGUUAAUAGUCAACAGGUGAUGGGAAAGGAAUGAUACUGGAUAAGCGGAUAUGCUCUCACUGCCUAUUAAGAAUGUCUUUUUAUUCUUCUUUGGAUAUGCGAAUAUGCUUUUGCUACUCCUAAUUCGUACUUUCUAUAUAUAAUUAAACUUAGCAAGUGGAUUCAUGCAAUUAUUCUCCAUAUUUCUUUCCAGAAAUUACCCUUACCCCACGUUGAGCUCGGCAGUCCAUUUUUUGGACACUCUGACCGAAAUCACCUUGGAUCCUCCAUAAUUAGCCUGAAAAAAAGUCGGUAGGUGAGAUAUGUUGGAUUCUUUGGUGUAGAUAUUUAUAAAAGUUGCAAGCUUCUUUAAAUGGUUAACUAAUAUGAAAAGGAAGGGCAUAUGGAUGCGGUGGGUGUAUCCUCAAGUCAACCAUUAUAAUGCAUUAAAACCAAAUUUAAUGGGUUAUUUGCACGUUGAAAGAAAAUCAUUUAUCCAUUCCAGCUAUUUAAGUUGAAAUAUUUUAGUCGAAUAGAAUAUAUUAUUAUAAAUUUAUUUUAUAUGAUAUAAAUUAUAGAAUAUAUGAAAUUAGUGGAAUAGUUCCUAGCUCGGUUAGUAACAAAAUUAGUUGUCGAUGCAGGAAGACAUGAGUUCUAUAGUAUUAAAAUAUAUUUAUCCUCUUUUCUAAUGAUUGAAAGAAGGAUUAUGAGUAGUUUUAAAACUUGUAUCAGUAAAAUAUACUAUAUUUCAUAAUUAGAAAAUAGAUUGGGUUAGAUUAUAAAAAUAGGAGUCCAAAUUCGAUCUAUAAUUUAAAUGUAUUUUUUUUUACGGUUUCUAAUCCUAAUAUUUUUUAUGAACUCUAUUACAUAUGGAUCAAGAUUUUAAUUUUUUUAAUAUUCUUUGAAGUUUAUGAUUAUCUGAAAAUUUUUUUUAAAUUUUAACAAAUAAUCCACCUUUAAACAAAUUUAUUAUUGGACGGCAUACUUUUUCCAGAACACAGGAAAUUUCUUAAUUUGCUUACGUUGGUUAGAUGGUGACAAAUUUUGGACUAAAGGACGACCCU